rnacentral:rRNA from 1 species
GAACGCUGGCGGUAGGCCUAACACAUGCAAGUCGAACGGCAGCACAGUAAGAGCUUGCUCUUAUGGGUGGCGAGUGGCGGACGGGUGAGGAAUACAUCGGAAUCUACUUUUUCGUGGGGGAUAACGUAGGGAAACUUACGCUAAUACCGCAUACGACCUACGGGUGAAAGCAGGGGAUCUUCGGACCUUGCGCGAUUGAAUGAGCCGAUGUCGGAUUAGCUAGUUGGCGGGGUAAAGGCCCACCAAGGCGACGAUCCGUAGCUGGUCUGAGAGGAUGAUCAGCCACACUGGAACUGAGACACGGUCCAGACUCCUACGGGAGGCAGCAGUGGGGAAUAUUGGACAAUGGGCGCAAGCCUGAUCCAGCCAUACCGCGUGGGUGAAGAAGGCCUUCGGGUUGUAAAGCCCUUUUGUUGGGAAAGAAAUCCAGCCGGCUAAUACCUGGUUGGGAUGACGGUACCCAAAGAAUAAGCACCGGCUAACUUCGUGCCAGCAGCCGCGGUAAUACGAAGGGUGCAAGCGUUACUCGGAAUUACUGGGCGUAAAGCGUGCGUAGGUGGUUGUUUAAGUCUGUUGUGAAAGCCCUGGGCUCAACCUGGGAACUGCAGUGGAAACUGGGCAACUAGAGUGUGGUAGAGGGUAGCGGAAUUCCCGGUGUAGCAGUGAAAUGCGUAGAGAUCGGGAGGAACAUCCAUGGCGAAGGCAGCUACCNGGA